AAGAGACCCCGAGACAUAUUUUUCGUGUUCAGAGCUUGCUGUCCGGACAAGCGGAUUUGUAGUGAACGUCUCAGGAUAACAACACCACGUGCCGUCAAAAACAUGGCCGCUGCGGAAAUCCCCCGGUACCCCCCACCCCUCGUGUGGCAAUUACCCCACUGUCCAGAAUCCCGAAGCUAAAUUUCAAACGUACAUGAAUAAUUAUUACGAAGGUAUAAACCUGUUCCAGAAAGUUCCCCGUCCAGAAAGUGUUGGUAAUUAAUCUCAGCUGUAUAUGUUGUCCGCGUCUCUUAAGGAAGGAAAAAAACAAAGUGGCAGGAAUUCUGACAGCAUGCAGCAUUAAGAGCCUUUUUGGAGCAACUUGGAUCUUUGCCGUGGAUAACUUGCCAGAAAUGGGAGGCCAACAGAGAUCAUGACGGGCACGUGGCAGGCAGGGGGAAGUGGAGACUUUCACUUUGACAGGCAAAAGGGCAUCGCUAGGCCACCUGGUUACAUGGCGUGCACUCACAGAAAGGCCGGAAGGUUCUAGGUGAGUAGCCGGUACACAGGGGGCACCUGGUUCCAUGGCGUGCACUCACAGAAAGGCCGGAAGGUUCUAGGUGAGUAGGACUGUGAUAGUACCCAGACGGCGAAUAAAAUAUAAUUCAUGUAUCAUAGCUGUCUCUGCUUUAAUGUGAUUGACAAUCUAGGUACUUUAUUCCCUGGGAAGAUAGACAGUAUUGGUUGAUUACUUCUAAAUUUAGCCAUAUACUGGGGAAAAAAUGUAAUUUAACGGUUGUUCUGUGCAUGACCAAUCAUUAAUGAGAGACUUCUAAAGUACCUGAAUCUCAUUUUAUUCAUUGGGGAAUUUUUGUGUGGAUUUCAAUAUAUUAUCAAAGUACUGAAUUUUAAAGUGAAAGCUAUAAGGAAUUUAAAAAUAUGAUGUUUCGCCAAAAUGAAAAUAGACUGUCAUGGAGCUACAUAUAAUUUCUCACGUUAAGUAGUUUGAAUCAUUAUGAAUUAAAACGUGAUACAUAAAUAGUAUAUCUAGUGGUGUUAAUCUAUGCUUUUUUGAAUUUUGAUUAUAUUCAUGGUAAUUUUUUUUCAAUUAUUGGUGAUCUAAUUUAAUUUUGAAAACGAGGUGACCUUCUGUAUAUUUUGCAAGACUACACAAAUCAGCUCUUUUUCCCUCACCAGUCAUGCUGACCUGCCUUCAGGUUCAGCCGGUACUAAUAGCCCAUCGGAAGCAGACCGCUUACUGCGAUUAACGAAGUGUCGUCCGCGUGUGGUCCAGGAGAUAAGGCAGGCCUUCAGGAAAGCUAGGGAUGACCGGACCUCAUGCUCGGGGGGUGGGGGUGGGGGCAUUCAAACUUCAACCGUCAAAAAUGCAACGAUGGCAUCACCUCAAAGGUCUCUGGACCAUAUCACAGCUUGGCUUGUGGGUUCUGGUAGUGACAGUAAGACCCCUACCAGACACAUAG